rnacentral:rRNA from 1 species
UACGAAGGGGGCUAGCGUUGUUCGGAAUUACUGGGCGUAAAGCGCACGUAGGCGGAUCGAUCAGUCAGGGGUGAAAUCCCAGGGCUCAACCCUGGAACUGCCUUUGAUACUGUCGAUCUGGAGUAUGGAAGAGGUGAGUGGAAUUCCGAGUGUAGAGGUGAAAUUCGUAGAUAUCUGGAGGAACACCGGUGGCGAAGGCGGCAUCCUGGACCGGCAUUGACGCUGAGGCGCGAAAGCCAGGGGAGCAAAGCGGG